GAGGGUAUAGCUCAGUGGUACAGCGCAUGCUUAGCAUGCACGAGGUCCUGGGUUCAAUCCCCAGAACCUCCU
rfam:Camelus ferus isolate Naran unplaced genomic scaffold scaffold40628, whole genome shotgun sequence.